ACAGCAGUAGCCACGGUAAUACAGAGGGUGCGAGCGUUAAUCGGAUUUACUGGGCGUAAAGCGUGCGUAGGCGGCUUCUUAAGUCGGAUGUGAAAUCCCUGAGCUUAACUUAGGAAUUGCAUUCGAUACUGGGAAGCUAGAGUAUGGGAGAGGAUGGUAGAAUUCCAGGUGUAGCGGUGAAAUGCGUAGAGAUCUGGAGGAAUACCGAUGGCGAAGGCAGCCAUCUGGCCUAAUACUGACGCUGAGGUACGAAAGCAUGGGGAGCAAACAGGAUUAGAUACCCGGGUAGUCCCUGUCUCUUAUAC
rnacentral:rRNA from 1 species